CCAGUCUUCUUUCCCUUUAAUGCAUUUUUAUUUCCCUGUUGGUAUAGAUUGCCUGAACCUCCAUAAAUCAACAGGGAGGAGAACUCAGUCUUGGAAUUGUUGACGGGGUCAUCAGAGCUAGCCUGGGUUUUGGAGUGAAGAUCUUCAGUUUUGGACACAAUGAAUUCAUCCACAGAAGGAAGAAGACAUUGAGCAAAAUAUCUCAGUGAAAUAAUGGAUUGAGAUGGUAUCAGGAACACCUAAACGGAACAGCAAUUGCUUCUACAUCAAAUGUAAUGUUUCGUGUUUACAGAACCAAAGCAAAACUCAGGUUCCUACGAGAAGAGAAGGAGACAGUUCAGAGUUCUCGUGCUUACGAUGAUCUCUUUGGGCUGAACAGGAUGAAGUGGUAAGAGGACACAUGGAAACAAGUAAUCUUAGCCUUCUGGCCUCCUGUGUGCAGGAGAAAUAGAAUAGCAAAACUUCCUGGGAAGACUGGACACCAGGGUCUUAGGGUGAGCAGGAAACCCAAAGGACCACUGUCCUACUGCCCUGCCAGGAGCACAGGUUCGUGGAUUAUUCCCUGUUUUACUAACAUAAGUUAGCCUGGUUGUGUUUACCCUUUCAGUUCCUCUGCAGAAUGCCCACUUCUAUUUUUAGUUCACAGUCAGAGGCUAGGAGUCAUUUUGGACAUUGGCUGAUCUUGGUGAAGGCUCUACCCUCACCAGACAGUUGUGGUCAAGCAGGCAGAUUCACAGAGUCCAGAG
rnacentral:lncRNA from 1 species